UACAGAGGGGGCAAGCGUUGUCCGGAAUCAUUGGGCGUAAAGAGCGCGCAGGCGGCUUGGCAAGUCGGGUGUGAAAUCCCGGGGCUCAACCCCGGGACUGCAUUCGAUACUGUCAGGCUAGAGGUAGGUAGGGGAGAUCGGAAUUCCUGGUGUAGCGGUGAAAUGCGCAGAUAUCAGGAGGAACACCGGUGGCGAAGGCGGAUCUCUGGGCCUUACCUGACGCUCAGGCGCGAAAGCUAGGGGAGCGAACAGG
rnacentral:rRNA from 1 species